AUUCCCUUUGCGAAAGGGAUCGCGGAUAAUACCGCCCCGGUUUACACACCGGGAAUCCAGGAGAGUUCAUGUAC
rnacentral:sRNA from 1 species